UGCAGAUGAUGUGAAAGAAUAUUUGCUAUCUUAACAGCAAUGCAGACAUUACACCAAUAUCACUGAUGCA
ensembl:snoRNA SNORD24 Small nucleolar RNA SNORD24